ACUACUCCGAUAUUAUUAAUAUUAUCAAAACUGUGAUGUUACUAUAAAUGAUAAUAUUAAACUGAAAAUCUUGGGGUCCGGCCGUGGCAUGUUUGGUGUUUUUAAUUUUGUUUGCGAUUUAGUGAACGAAGUACCUAAUUAAUGUGAAUUUCGAUGUGCUAAUUCCUGAAUAUAAUAUACAGGAUUCAGAUGUUCCGAGUUGCCGUCAUAAAAUUUACUUUGUCCAGGUGAUUACUUGAAUAUUAAGUUUGCAGGUAGCAAGACCGUUUUGUUGAUCCGUUAAAAUGUUUCCAUCGCUCUUACUAAAUGUAUGCCGUUCCUUCAUUAUGUUGCUACUGAGAUGGGAAAAGGUCAUUAACUAGCAAAAAAAAAAUAUCAAAUUAAUGAUUUAUUACAUAUUUGUAUGAAUUAAUGCAUUCAAUUAUAACAAGCAUAAUAUUAUAUACUAAGUUGUUCGAUGGAAUUAUAACAACUACCCAUCAUGACGUAUCACUCGAACUAAUUCCAUUACUUUUGCAAACAAAAUCUGAAAUAAUGGUAAAGAAAAACUCAAAUGUUAAAAAAAAUAAGGGGUCAAAUCUUAUGGCUCAACUAACAAGGAACACAUGUAAUUUUGUUUAGAGGUCUUAGAGAUGCCUGUGUGAGCUAUAGAUUUGUUUCAAAAAACCAAGAAAAAUCUAGAAGAAGGAACCUUCGGAACUCUGAUUCAAAACAUUGGGCCCAUAGUUGUAUGGAUGAUAAUGCAUUAAGACAUAUUUAUCACCAACACCGGCAACUAUUGAAUACAAUUAUUACUAUUGUAAUUUAUUCUAAUCAUAAAUAAAUACUGUUUUAUUUUACUGCAUUGUAUAU